rnacentral:rRNA from 1 species
ACACCGGCGGCCCGAGUGGUAGCCGUUAUUAUUGGGUUUAAAGGGUCCGUAGCCGGCCUAUUAAGUCUCUUGGGAAAUCUGGCGACUCAAUCGUCAGGCGUCCAAGAGAUACUGGUAGGCUUGGGACCGGGAGAGGUGGGAGGUACUCCAGGGGUAGGGGUGAAAUCUCGUAAUCCUUGGGGGACCACCGAUGGCGAAGGCAUCCCACCAGAACGGGUCCGACGGUGAGGGACGAAAGCUGGGGGCACGAACCGGAUUAGAUACCCGGGUAGUCCCAGCCGUAAACGAUGCUCGCUAGGUGUCAGGUGCGGUGCGACCGCAUCUGGUGCCGCAGUGAAAACUUGAAGCGAGUCACCUGGGAAGUACGGUCGCAAGGCUGAA